CGUGGGCAGAAGUUCUGCUGCAUACUGAAGACCAACAUUGGCUGCCAUGUUCAGACAGAAUCGCGACAAUAUUGACAUUACUAAUUUCGCGAGCACUGGGGAAUAAAUUAAAAAAUACAAAAUUAAUCCUGGGUACACAAUACUUGAUUAUCGAUAUAUUUACUGGAAUGCAGCAUAAGUUCAGCGAUACUGAGUACACAGGUCAUUGCCAUCGUGAGAAAUCCGCAGAGUCUACGACCCCAUCGGUCGAGCAACAGGGCGAGUAAUAACCCAGCUGGAAGUUCUGUGGCACAGGCGAUCGAGAACGACACGAACACCGAGCUCUGGAUAAGUUUUAAUGAAUACACGUGACCGUCGAACGAGAUCAGGGUGAAACACCUACAAGAUUGUAUCGGUUAUUUAUGAAGGUUUUCUCGCAACAUGAACUCGUAUCUUAUACUUGCCAGAAUGCAACUAGAAGAAUAGUGUUUCUCGCCAACCGUGGCGUUUUGAACAGAUCGAGCAGCGUCGCUGAUUCUUGAAUUUUGUCCGGUGCCUCCAUGUUACUCUGCAAGAAUUUAUUUCGAGAAUAAUUAACGAAAGAUAUAAUACGAGUCGUGCCUUUAGCCCUUACACAGUUCAAAAUUCAUAACACACUGAAAAGAAAUUUUAUUUUCAUUUUAUUCGUCAUUAAUAGAUAGCACGAACAGUGGCACUUUGCAUUCUGUUUUAUGGAAUUAGUCGGCAUGGCUUUUGAUAUCGAGAUUUAUUAAUAUAAUGGGUGGUUGGUUGAUUAAAUACUUUUCUGAUCCGAAAUACAGUCGGGAACAAAACUAAGUGGAUUAGUGGAGAAAAUGUAAAAAUUCAUUUCAAUCAUUUGCUGAACUAUCUGCAUAUUAUUAGAAGGAAAUAUAAUAAAUAAAACUCAAGUAUAUGAGGCUGAUACUAAUUUGAUUAUACUUUCUUCACAUCUAUUUCCAUUAACUAUAGCAGCUUAUUUUUAUCCCCGAUUGUACUUGUAAAUUGUAAAUAUUUUAUAAUUUCUAUAUAAAUUCCCAGAUUUACUUCAAAUUUUGUACGAGAUCGAUAUAAUACCACAAUGGAAUCGCGACAGUCAAGUUUCAUUUCAUAUUUCAUUUUUCAUCGCGUUUCAUUUUUAAAACCUGUCUAUGCAUGUUAAAAUACAUUCGCGAGUCUGUGUGUUUUCGACGUGAAUCAAAUAUAUCUGUCAGCACAGAUUCAAGCACUGUACCGUAUGAUUUCGCGUAAGCUUUCUAGAAUUCUAUUUGAUCGAACUUACGACGAAUAUAUUGCAAAUACGCGAGUCUGGAUUUCUGCGAUUGAUCCUAGCUGUUCUCCGUAGUUUCUCAACAACCUUGUCCAUCAUCCCGUUGGAAACGUACCAGCUUGAACAGAGCAAAUACGAGUGAUAUGGAUCGAUAAGUAAAUUUGCAUAAAUCUCAAAGCGCAAGUUGAGAAUUCGAAUAAUCGAACGAUUAGGAGUUUACUUACCGGGCGCUCUCGGGAAGAAUCCACGGUGUGAUAGCGACAGAUAACAGCGGUAUGGCAGUAACUAAUAGAACAUGGAAGAUUUAUCGAGUGAAACCGGUUAUUAUUAAUAUGGAGCAAUUGAUGACGAGCCGAAUGAACGAUACCAUCAACAUAAUUGUAGGAUAAUUGUAAGAUUAUAAAUAUAAUUCCGAUUUUAAAUUAAUCCGUUUACUCUGCAAACGUGAAUGUUCCGAGUUUGAGCUGGUCCGUAUAACAAAAAGCGCUACAUAAUGCACGUGUUUUGCUUCUAACGUAUUUAAACGAAUUACGUGUUGAAAAUUUUGUGAUAAUUUUCAUUUCGAACGAAUAUACGGAGUGGUUGGUAACUGGUGGUACAAGCGGAAAGGGGGUGAUUCUACGCGAAAAAAGAAGUCGAAAAUAUAGAAUAAAAAUUUUUCGUUCGAGGCUUUGUUUUCGAGAAAAUCGACUUUGAAUUUUCGCUCGAUACGCGUGCACUUUAUCGCGUCUCGUUAUAACGGAUCUCACUGUAGAUCGUUGUCUCGAUGGAAGAAUUAAAAAAAAAUUUGUAUUCUAUAUUUUCGACUUCUUUCCGCUUGUACCACCAGUUACCAACCACCUUGUAUAACUCGAUUUAAGAAUAUCAAGAUAUAACUAUCCUCGACGACAUGAAAAUCGAUGAAACGAUCUUUAACAAUAACAAAAUCAAUAUAUUCAUCUCUGGUGGUGGCAAAAGCUCUUGAAUCAAGAACUCGAACCGUAUAGUUCAAUCGAGUACAGCAACGUCAAAAUUAUCUUCGAGGAACAAUUCAUCAAAAAUUUCUCACGCAACAUCAUCUUUCACGUAAUAGAAACAUUGACUUCAUACUAACGUUAUCUCUCGCGUGACUGAAACAUUGGCUUAUCGGUCGAACCUCUCGCACUUUCUACUUCGUAGAAGGCUUACCGAUAAUCAGAGGAAUGUUGAUACAGUUAUCGAACGCCAGUCCAGUGAGAAACCUACAGACGGCGAAUGACCAAAAACUAUUUGCGCUGGCAGUGAAAAUGGAGGCAAAAAGGGCGAUACCAUUGCAGAACAUUAAAGCUGGGAUACGACCCUUCUGAUCGGCGAUCCAACCGACUAGGAAACCACCGAUGAUGGAUCCGCAGAAGAAGAUGGCCUGCGCCGUUGAUACGAGAAUAUAAUUUUAAUCCUGCUGCGGUCUUCGAAUUUUUAUAUCUCGAUUCUGCUCGCAGUUCGAUGAAUGAAAGAGUUCUUUAUGCUCUGAAAAAAAACGUUCGCGUAAAAUCGGAACGAGGAAUUAUCCGUACUAACAAUUAUCGUCUUAUACUUUCUUUAAACUUAAGAAAUUUACUAUAACAAGGUUAGAGUAGAUCGGAAAUGACCCAAAGAACGCAGCAGAAGUGUAAGAAUUUCGAAGCAUGCGAUUCAGACAACGAUGUGAAUACUUCACCUCA